UGCGUCCCUAAGGGGAGACAGGAUUAAGAUCCUAUCCAGCCUCAGCCCCAUAGGGCAAGGAGAAAAUCUGUGGGCCCUGAAGCCGAAGGCAAGGCUCUGUCUUCCAGCAGCUUUCCACCCCCCAAUAAACCCCCACGGGGUCCACCAGGAGCUGGCAGUGCACUUGGAGACCAGACAUAUGGUGACAGGAGCAAGGGUUUUCUCUCUUCCCAACAUCCUCCCAUCGCUCAGCCCAGUUCCCUGGGGUUCAGACGGCUCAUGCUGCCAUUGGCACCUCCCCUGUUAGAAGGGAGACAGGAGGAGGUUCAGGGAGGACCCUAGAGGACAUCAAAAAGGACCGAGCUGGGCCAGGGCCAAUCCUCAACUGUCCAGGUCCCUGUAUUUUAGCCUGACCCUGACUCCUGACCCAUGUGUACUCUUGGUAUCAGAGGGUGACUCAAAUGGCUUUUGAGGCCACUCUGGGAUCUGCAUCCUGCAUCCCUCAUCAGGAUAACAUCCUACCCAAAUAUAUUGCCAACUUUUUUCCUGAGAAGCAGGGGACCAUUUCAAAACAAAGAGAGGUGAGAUAAAUUGUAUCGUUGUU
rnacentral:lncRNA from 1 species